UACAGAGGGUGCAAACGUUGCUCGGAAUCAUUGGGCGUAAAGCGCACGUAGGCGGCCUAGCAAGUAGGGAGUGAAAGCCCUCGGCUUAACCGAGGAAGUGCUUUCUAAACUACUAGGCUUGAAUACUGGAGAGGGUCGCGGAAUUCCCGGUGUAGAGGUGAAAUGCGUAGAGAUCCGGAGGAACACCAGUGGCGAAGGCGACACGCUGGGCCGUACCUGACGCUGAUACGCGACAGCAUGGGGAGCGAACGGG
rnacentral:rRNA from 1 species